rnacentral:rRNA from 1 species
UCGAGAAUCUUCCACAAUGGGCGAAAGCCUGAUGGAGCGACGUCGCGUGAUUGAUGAAGUCUUUCGGGAUGUAAAGAUCUUUUUAUGAAGGAGAAAGGCCGCAAGGCUUGAUAGUACUUCAUGAAUAAGGGGUUGCUAAACUCGUGCCAGCAGCAGCGGUAAUACGAGUGCCCCGAGCGUUAUCCGGAAUUAUUGGGCGUAAAGGGUGUGUAGGUGGCAGUGUUAGUCGUGUGUCAAAGCUCCCGGCCCAACCGGGAAAAGGCAUACGAAACGGCACAGCUCGAGAGUGUGAGGGGUCUAUGGAACUCAUGGUGUAGGGGUGAAAUCCGUUAAUAUCAUGGGGAACACCGAAGGCGAAGGCAGUAGACUAGCACAUUUCUGACACUGAAACACGAAAGCGUGGGUAGCGAAUGGGAUUAGAUACCCGUGUAGUCCCUGAG